UACGGAGGGUGCAAGCGUUAAUCGGAAUUACUGGGCGUAAAGCGUGCGCAGGCGGUUUGUUAAGUCCGCUCUGAAAGCCCCGAGCUCAACUUGGGAAUUGCAGUGGAUACUGGCAGGCUGGAGUACGGUAGAGGAAGGUGGAAUUCCCGGUGUAGCAGUGAAAUGCGUAGAUAUCGGGAGGAACACCAGUGGCGAAGGCGGCCUUCUGGACCAGUACUGACGCUCAUGCACGAAAGCGUGGGGAGCAAACAGG
rnacentral:rRNA from 1 species